rnacentral:rRNA from 1 species
GACGAACGCUGGCGGCGUGCUUAACACAUGCAAGUCGAACGAAGUGGCGAACGGGUGAGUAACGCGUAAUCAACCUGCCCUUCAGAGGGGGACAACAGUUGGAAACGACUGCUAAUACCGCAAACUGAAGGAGGGGGUUGCGUCUGCUUAGCUAGUUGGAGGGGUAACGGCGCACCAAGGGGAUGAUCAGUAGCCGGUCUGAGAGGAUGGACGGCCACAUUGGGACUGGGGCACGGCCCAGACUGCUACGGGAGGCAGCAGUGGGGAAUCUGCCGGAAUGGGCGAAAGUCUGACGGAGCAACGCCGCGUGAGUGAUGACGGCCUUCGGGUUGUAAAGCUCUGUUAAUCGGGACGCGGUACCGGAAUAGAAAGCCACGGCUAACUACGUGCCAGCAGCCGCGGUAAUUC